rnacentral:rRNA from 1 species
UACGUAGGGGGCAAGCGUUGUCCGGAAUUACUGGGCGUAAAGCGCACGUAGGUGGCGACGUAAGUCGGGUGUGAAAGCCCCGGGCUCAACCUGGGAAUUGCAUUCGAGACUGCAUUGCUGGAGUACGGAAGAGGAGGGCGGAAUUCCCGGUGUAGCGGUGAAAUGCGUAGAGAUCGGGAAGAACAUCGGUGGCGAAGGCGGCCUGCUGGGCUGUUGCUGACGCUGAGGCGCGACAGCGUGGGGAGCAAACAGG